AUACAUGGGCAGAGGUCUGGAGGAGAGCCUGCAGGGGAGAAAGCACAUACCUGCAGAGGCGGUGUGGAGGAACACAGGACAUUGGACACACGAUGGGAGCAUUAGGAGAUGAAUAAGAAGACGGAAGUGAAGAUAGGAACAGGAAACGGAAGAGGAGGGGAGGAAAGAAGAGUUCCUGUUUGAGCAGUCGAGCAGAGGCCUAACAGACUGGAGAAGAGCAACCCCAGCUCUCCUGCUGCAGGCAAAGCUGCCUGAGAGCUCUGCAUUAAAGAUGGAUCCCAACACUGUCAUCAAUCCCAAACCACAUGCACAUAGGGGUAGGCAAAGGGGUGGGAACAUAAGCUCGACAGACACCCUCCUGGACUGGGUGAGAGUCAGAGGACCAGCUCCUUCGCUGGACAGUCAGGGCUUGCUUUGGCAUCUAUUGGCAUCAGUGCCAAAAUCUCACUGUCUUUAAGCUCUAGCUUGAAGGAUUUCUAUGGCAGAGGCUGCUGUGAACCCAGUAGAUCAGGGCAGUGGGUUUAUAUAGCAUUGCCUGCAUUGCACCUGCAGCUGAGUAGCCUGGAAGGCUUAAUUGCACAGGGUCUGGGGCGGGCAUUUGAGGGUGUUGAGUGGCUCUGCGUUCCCAAGCUGUCUCCUGUGCCUGAAGGCCAGGGGAAGGUGGCCGGCUCACAGGGCACAUGGUAUGGGAGGUGAUGCAGUGUGUUUUCAGGCUGGGGAAAUCUGUGUGGCCCUUACAAAUAAAGACCGGGCUGUGAGGGCUGAGAGUUUGAGGUAUACCUGUACUGUGAAAGGGCUGUGGAGGGCUCUAUGCCGCAAUGUGAUGGGGAGUCGACCCCUCCAAAAGAUCCCUGUGGCAGGGGAGACUUAGACCCAGAUCCCUAUUGCUGUGCCUUGCAAUCUGGCUUUGCUAUCCUGGCCCCUGUAACUGGGCCCCUCUGCCCCCUACUAGAGGCCUUUCAUGCCCAGGGUCCAGGUCGCUUCUGGCUCUGCUGGCUUUUAACAUUUAAACAUUUAAACUGAAAAAAAGCCCUUUAUUUUUCCCCUCCCUCCCCAAAUGCACAGUAAUCCAUUGUCAGUCCCCUCCACCUUCUCCUGAAACCUGCCCUCCUUCAUCAUCUUCCCCAUCCCAGAAACUUGGAAUAACUUUCUUGGUAGACAAUGGGGCUCUUUUUGGAAGUCUCUCCCCUCGCCCCUCCAACCAUCCUGUAGACAGAAAUGUCUUUACUGUCUAUAGGGAGGUUUAA